rnacentral:rRNA from 1 species
CAGUCGCCGCGGUAAUACGAAGGGGGCUAGCGUUGUUCGGAUUUACUGGGCGUAAAGGGCGCGUAGGCGGACUGAUAAGUCAGGGGUGAAAUCCCAAGGCUCAACCUUGGAACUGCCUUUGAUACUGUUUGUCUUGAGUUCGAGAGAGGUAAGUGGAACUGCGAGUGUAGAGGUGAAAUUCGUAGAUAUUCGCAAGAACACCAGUGGCGAAGGCGGCUUACUGGCUCGAAACUGACGCUGAGGCGCGAAAGCGUGGGGAGCAAACAGGAUUAGAGACCCCUGUAGUCCCUGUCUCUUAUAC